CAGUGAUUGACUGUGACGGGAACUGUGAGCUGAACAAACCCUCUCCUCGGCUUUUAGUCAGGCUGUGGUCCACAGCGACAGAAAGGAAACUAGCCCAGUGUGAACUUGUCCCUCUCACACAAGACCCUCGGAGACUCUGCAGACUCUCAGACAAGGUCAUACAACAGGGAUAGAGCUUUGAACAUCUGUCCUUAACCACAACCCUGACACUCACUGGGCAGGGACUACAGGCCAAAGACCACAACAUCCUACGCAACUCUGAGAGAGGAUAGGACUGAGGAGACUCAGGAGCCAAACCAGAGCUGCGGGACUUGUCCCACGUGGCUCAGCAGGGUCUCCUUGUCUGCUCACAGCCCCUGCCACCCAGGGAACACUGCGUGUGCCCUCCGCUCAGUCUCCCUGACCACACACCUCCUUGCACAAGAACUACUGCAUCACCAGCCUGGGCUGAGAUCUCAGAACCUGUAUCCUGAGAAAGCAGAAGUGACCCUGGGCCCUGCUGAAUCAGCAAUGGGUACUUCCAACAUUUACACAGCACAUGGACAGGGGACGCCCAGGCACCCCCACCAGAGCUCAGACAUAGGACCCAGGCUGCAGCCAAAGGCUGCUCAGAUCUGCCCAAGCAGAUAGAAGGAGGCUGGGAUGAGGAGGCCAAGGGGCAAGGCUAGAAGCUGACUCCCCGGACAGAGCAGCUGGCUUUGGGAUCACUGGCCACUGCCAACUGGCUUCUGUCAAGAACAUUUCUUUCAUCGGCAGCCCCAUGGAAACCCACUGCCUCCACCCCGCAGCACCAAAAUCUCCACUCUUUCCAAUCUUACUUGAGGCCUUCCCUGCAAAAUGCCGAGCUACCAAGAGAAACAAAUUGUCUGGUUUCCCACUAUUGCCUGGAACCAGAAACAUCGAGGGGCCCCAGAGUCCGGAAGUAUCACCAAGUGGCUGCCAUGAACAGGUCCUUGCCCUGCAUCCUGGGGCUGGCUUAGGGCUCCCUCUUAGAGGUAGCACAGAAAGAUCCACCUGUGGGAAAUGUUCUAUCAAGCACCUCUGGAAUGUCCCUCUGCAGAUCAGCACUCUACUAUCAUGGAGGUUCCUAGUGGGAAGAAUGUUGCUUUGCUCUUGCUGACACAGAGGUUUCUUCUCUUCACCCCAUGAGUCCAGCCCAGUCACAGCCUCAGCCGAGACACCUCCAUCUCUGCGUGACCAGUGCCUGGGACAGUCGUGCUGGACACUUGGAACAAUGGUCACUUCCCUAUGCUGAGUCCUGAGGGAACAAGAACAGCUACUGCCUGCAUCCCAGAAGGAUCUGCAUUUAGAAGUUGAGAACCUGGGAGUCGCAGUGAGCAUAGUGGUCAGUCAGUCAUCACUGUGAGAAUGACUAAAGACAAGAAGAGGGCCAAGGGGCUGCCAUAUUUGUGACAGGGACACUUAGCUAUCCGUAAAGGUCCCGUCUUCUGACCCAGACACAGCUGUGGCUGGGCAAGAGCUGCCCAUGCCAAAAUGCCAAAUUCCCGAAUCCUUUGCAACACAUCACACUACAAAGCCCAGAAUUCUUUGGCCCACCGAGCUGUAUCUCACACGCCAGAUGUACAGGGCUUCCCCACCAAGGCCCUUCCCACUUUCCUAUCUACCUCUGAGCCCAGGGGUACUCCACCAGAAGGGAGAAUAAGACUUCAAGCUGGGUCGCUGGGUCACUGAGUCACUAAGGCAUAAGGGACUGGCCACUUAGAAAUACCUUCUGUAAGCCAGGAACAGUGCUGGGCACCCGCAACCCCAGGCACAUGGGUAGCUGAGGCAGGAGAAUUGCUUGAGCCCAGAAGC